GUACUCCUGUCCUCAUGACUCACUGUGGUAGGUACCAGAUCAGUCUAGACUACUGUACUCCUGUCCUCAUGACUCACUGUGGUAGGUACCAGAUCAGUCUAGACUACUGUACUCCUGUCCUCAUGACUCACUGUGGUAGGUACCAGAUCAGUCUAGACUACUGUACUCCUGUCCUCGUGACUCACUGUGGUAGGUACCAGAUCAGUCUAGACUACUGUACUCCUGUCCUCAUGACUCACUGUGGUAGGUACCAAAUCAGUCUAGACUACUGUACUCCUGUCCUCAUGACUCACUGUGGUAGGUCAUAGAGAAUAACCUGAACAGGUGGGGUGUCAUACAACAGCGUAAGCUUGUGUAAGAGAGCAUACAGUUCCUAACUUGUCCUACUAUGCUUUCUAGAGACUUUGAAAGGGCAUGGUAUGGUACCUCCUGGGUUUUUUGUUUUUUUACAUGUAUUUCUCCAAAGCUAUAAACAAUGUUCUGUUGGUUGGCUUACUACAGUGGCAAGAAAAAGCAUGUGAACCCUUUUGAAUUACCUGGAUUUCUGCAUGAAUUGGUCAUACAAUUUAAUCUGAUCUUCAUCAUUUUUCUUGUCUAUAUUGGAUACAUCAUUUAAACUUUCACAGUGUAGGUUGGAAAAAGUAUUGAUUGAUUGACUAUGACUUUUCAAAUCACCCAGUAUUGCUAUCUGCAGCGUUAGUUCUAGGCAAAUGUUGCAAUUCUUCAGCCAUUCCUGGACCUGUGACCAAAAACAAGCUACAUAUGGACAAUACCAAAAUAAAUUAUCUAAUGACUCUGCCUCCUCACAGCAAAAUCUGCAGAGCUGGGAAGAUUGUAUCCCCCACAUAUACACUGCUCAAAAAAAUAAAGGGAACACUAAAAUAACACAUCCUAGAUCUGAGUGAAUGAAAUAUUCUUAUUAAAUACUUUUUUCUUUACAUAGUUGAAUAUGCUGACAACAAAAUCACACAAAAAUGAUGAAUGGAAAUCAAAUUUAUCAACCCAUGGAGGUCUGGAUUUGGAGUCGCACUCAAAAUUAAAGUGGAAAACCACACUACAGGCUGAUCCAACUUUGAUGUAAUGUCCUUAAAAGAAGUCAAAAUGAGGCUCAGUAGUGUGUGUGGCCUCCAUGUGCCCGUAUGACCUCCCUACAAUGCCUGGGCAUGCUCCUGAUGAGGUUGCGGAUGGUCUCCUGAGGGAUCUCCUCCCAGACCUGGACUAAAGCAUCCGCCAACUCCUGGACAGUCUGUGGUACAACGUGGCGUUGGUGGAUGGAGCGAGACAUGAUGUCCCAGAUGUGCUCAAUUGGAUUCAGGUCUGGGGAACGGGCGGGCCAGUCCAUAGCAUCAAUGCCUUCCUCUUGCAGAAACUGCUGACACACUCCAGCCGCAUGAGGUCUAGUAUUGUCUUGCAUUAGGAGGAACCCAGGGCCAACCGCACCAGCAUAUGGUCUCACAAGGGGUCUGAGGAUCUCAUCUCGGUACCUAAUGGCAGUCAGGCUACCUCUGGCGAGCACAUGGAGGGCUGUGCGGCCCCCCCAAAGAAAUGCCACCCCACACCAUGACUAACCCACCGCCAAACCGGUCAUGCUGGAGGAUGUUGCAGGCAGCAGAACGUUCUCCACGGCGUCUCCAGACUCUGUCACGUGUGUCACAUGUGCUCAGUGUGAACCUGCUUUCAUCUGUGAAGAGCACAGGGCGCCAGUGGCGAAUUUGUCAAUCUUGGUGUUCUCUGGCAAAUGCCAAACGUCCUGCACGGUGUUGGGCUGUAAGCACAACCCCCACCUGUGGACGUCGGGCCCUCAUACCACCCUCAUGGAGUCUGUUUCUGACCGUUUGAGCAGACCCAUGCACAUUUGUGGCCUGCUGGAGGUAAUUUUGCAGGGCUCUGGCAGUGCUCCUCCUGCUCCUCCUUGCACAAAGGCGGAGGUAGCGGUCCUGCUGCUGGGUUGUUGCCCUCCUACGGCCUCCUCCACGUCUCCUGAUGUACUGGCCUGUCUCUUGGUAGCGCCUCCAUGCUCUGGACACUACGCUGACAGACACAGCAAACCUUUUUGCCACAGCUCGCAUUGAUGUUCCAUCCUGGAUGAGCUGCACUACCUGAGCCACUUGUGUGGGUUGUAGACUCCGUCUCAUGCUACCACAAGAGUGAAAGCACCGCCAGCAUUCAAAAGUGACCAAAACAUCAGCCAGGAAGCAUAGGAACUGAGAAGUGGUCUGUGGUCACCACCUGCAGAACCACUCCUUUAUUGGGGGUGUCUUGCUAAUUGCCUAUAAUUUCCACCUGUUGUCUAUUCCAUUUGCACAACAGCAUGUGACAUUUAUUGUCAAUCAGUGUUGCUUCCUAUGUGGACAGUUUGAUUUCACAGAAGUGUGAUUGACUUGGAGUUACAUUGUGUUGUUUAAGUGUUCCCUUUAUUUUAUUUUUUUGAGCAGUGUAUAACAUUCUAUUGGUUGCAAUAAUUUAGUAAUAGUAAUUUAAAUGGAAAAAGUUUUGAAUCCAGCGUUGUUUUGUGUAUCAAUUCAUAAACCAUGUGCCAUGGAAUGGGUACAUCGAAAAUCUCUAACCAACUAUUUUGCAAUUUAUAUGGCACAGCUGUCAGUUUUUUGGUCCUUAAAUUAAAUUGGAAUAUGUUUUUAUUUAUCACACUUUUUAUCACAACGUGUAAUUCUUUGUGUUAUUAGUUUAAGCAGAGUGUGUUUGCCUAUUGUUGUGACUUAGAUGAAGAUCAGAUCAAAUUUUAUGACAAAUCUAUGCAGAAAUCCAGG
ensembl:lncRNA